rnacentral:misc_RNA from 1 species
AAAGAAGGGCAAUGCAAAGUAGUUAUUUCUGAUGCUAUUUUUGAUGUUAAAGGCUUAAAAUUAAAUGUUUGCUGCAAUGGAAUAAAGGAGAGUUCAAGAAGGUUAAACCAGCUAUAAAAUUUCCAAAUGACAAGGGUAGAAGAAUGAUUGCUGCCUCAAAAGCAAAUCAAGUCAUUUGGUCCAAGAAGAAUUUAGCAAAGCAAGUUGAGCUUUCUUAUGCUUCCAGCAGCAAAAAUUAUUUUGUUUUAGUUGCAAGAAGUCAUACAAAGCAUAGGAGAAUUAAGCAAGAGAAGUAUCAUCCAAUUGAAGAGGCUGAGAAGAAUUGUGUUGUGGAGCUGGUUUCUUACAAAA